rnacentral:rRNA from 1 species
UACAGAGGUCUCAAGCGUUGUUCGGAUUCAUUGGGCGUAAAGGGUGCGUAGGCGGCGCGGUAAGUCGGGUGUGAAAUCUCGGAGCUUAACUCCGAAACUGCAUUCGAUACUGCCGUGCUUGAGGACUGGAGAGGAGACUGGAAUUUACGGUGUAGCGGUGAAAUGCGUAGAGAUCUGGAGGAAUACCGGUGGCGAAGGCGGCCCCCUGGACAAAGACUGACGCUCAGGUGCGAAAGCGUGGGGAGCAAACAGG